rnacentral:rRNA from 1 species
AGAGUUUGAUCAUGGCUCAGAACGAACGCUGGCGGCGCGCCUCAUACAUGCAAGUCGAGCGAGAAAUCCCCUGCUUGCAGGGGAGAGUAAAGCGGCGAACGGGUGAGUAACACGUGAGCAACCUGCCCCUCGGUUGGGGAUAAGCCUUCGAAAGAGGGUCUAAUACCGAAUAACAUCAUCUGGUGGCAUCACCGGAUGAUCAAAGGCUUCGGUCUCCGAGGGAUGGGCUCGCGGUCCAUUAGUUUGUUGGUGGGGUAACGGCCUACCAAGACUUCGAUGGAUAGCCGACCUGAGAGGGUGAUCGGCCACACUGGGACUGAGAUACGGCCCAGACUCCUACGGGAGGCAGCAGUAGGGAAUAUUGCGCAAUGGACGAAAGUCUGACGCAGCGACGCCGCGUGGAUGAUGAAGCUUUUAGGAGUGUAAAGUCCUUUCAGAGGGGAAGAAACGGUCUUCGGACCCUGACGGUACCCUCAGAAGAAGCACCGGCUAACUCCGUGCCAGCAGCCGCGGUAAUACGGAGGGUGCAAGCGUUGUUCGGAUUCACUGGGCGUAAAGGGUGCGCAGGCGGGUCAGUAGGUCGGAUGUGAAAACCCCACGGCUUAACCGGGGGCCUGCAUUCGAAACCGCUGAUCUUGAGUACGAGAGAGGAGAGCGGAAUUCCUGGUGUAGCGGUGAAAUGCGUAGAUAUCAGGAAGAACACCGGUGGCGAACGCGGCUCUCUGGCUCGAUACUGACGCUCAUGCACGAAAGCUAGGGGAGCAAACAGGAUUAGAUACCCUGGUAGUCCUAGCGGUAAACGAUGGGCACUAGUGUUGGGGGUAUCGACCCCCUCAGUGCCGCAGCUAACGCAUUAAGUGCCCCGCCUGGGGAGUACGGUCGCAAGAUUGAAACUCAAAUGAAUUGACGG